rnacentral:lncRNA from 1 species
GUGUGUGACAACUGCAAAAGGUUGUUAAAUUAUGCUUCUAAAAUAUGUGAGACCUGCAAAACCGUGCAGCCUUUCAAGAAAAACCACAAAUGACAAAAUAAGGCAAUGGACAAGACACUGAUAGAGUGGACAAGACCGACCAUCCUUUAAAACAACGUUGCCAGGUUCCUGGACUCACUUUUCAUAAUGCUCCGGAAAGUGCAUGUUCUGGGCUUUAGGUCCGUCCUCAUAGGGAAGCAGUCCCGUGGAGGCUGCUGGGAAGUAGAAAUCAUGAUGCCCACCAACCCUCGGCCAGGUCUGGAGGAGGACUGCCUCCAGGAGCUGCUCAAAUACUAUGAAUCUUUACUGAAGCGUAAGUUACUCUCCACUUUCAACAGCAUACACAAAAUAUCCUGAGUGUACAAAACAUUAAGGACACCUGCUCUUUACAUAGACUGACCAGGUGAAUCCAGGUGAAAGCUAUGAUCCCUUAUUGAUGUCACUUGUUAAAUCCACUUCAAUCAGUGUAGAUGAAGGGGAGGAGGCAGGUUAAAGAAGGGUUUGUAAGCCUUACACAAUCCAUUUC